rnacentral:rRNA from 1 species
UAAGACGUAGGGGGCGAGCGUUGUCCGGAAUUACUGGGCGUAAAGAGCACGUAGGCGGAUAUUUAAGUCAGUUGUGAAAGACCGCGGCUCAACCGCGGGGUUGCAAUUGAAACUGGGUAUCUUGAGGGCAGGAGAGGUCAGUGGAAUUCCUGGUGUAGCGGUGAAAUGCGUAGAAAUCAGGAGGAACACCAGUGGCGAAGGCGGCUGACUGGACUGGCCCUGACGCUGAGGUGCGAAAGCGUGGGUAGCAAACAGGAUUAGAUACCCUGGUAGUCCACGCCGUAAACGAUGGAUACUAGGUGUGGGAGGUAUCGACCCCUUCCGUGCCGCAGCUAACGCAAUAAGUAUCCCGCCUGGGGAGUACGGUCGCAAGGCUGAAACUCAAAGGAAUUGACGGGGGCCCGCACAAGCGGUGGAGCAUGUGGUUUAAUUCGAUGCAACGCGAAGAACCUUACCAGGUCUUGACAUCCAGAGAAUCCUUUGGAAACAAGGGAGUGCCUUUUUAAAGAGCUCUGAGACAGGUGGUGCAUGGUUGUCGUCAGCUCGUGUCGUGAGAUGUUGGGUUAAGUCCCGCAACGAGCGCAACCCUUGCUAUUAGUUGCUAACAGGUGAUGCUGAGCACUCUAAUGGGACUGCCCGUGACAAGCGGGAGGAAGGUGGGGAUGACGUCAAAUCAUCAUGCCCUUUAUGAUCUGGGCUACACACGUGCUACAAUGGGUGGUACAGAGAGCUGCGAAGCCGUGAGGUGGAGCGAAUCUCAAAAAGCCAUUCUCAGUUCGGAUUGCAGUCUGCAACUCGACUGCAUGAAGUCGGAAUCGCUAGUAAUCGCGAAUCAGCACGUCGCGGUGAAUGCGUUCCCGGGCCUUGUACACACCGCCCGUCACACCACGAAAGUCGGCAACACCCGAAGCCGGUGACUCAACCAGAAAUGGAGAGAGCCGUCUAAGGUGGGGUUGGUGAUUGGGGUGAAG